rnacentral:rRNA from 1 species
GACGUAGGAGGCGAGCGUUAUCCGGAUUCACUGGGCGUAAAGCGCAUGUAGGCGGAUGUCUAAGUCGUGUGUUAAAGCCCCUGGCUCAACUGGGGGAGGUCAUGCGAGACUGGAUGACUUGAGGGCAACAGAGGCACGUGGAACUCCCGGUGUAGCGGUGGAAUGCGUAGAGAUCGAGAAGAACACCCGUGGCGAAGGCGGCGUGCUGGGUUGCAACUGACGCUGAGAUGCGAAAGUGUGGGGAGCAAACGGG